GAGCUUUCAUGUGCAUGCACACGUCUUCAGAUACACUUCUUAUCUGAGGAAGUGUGCAUGCACAUGAAAGCUC